CAGCCGCGGUAAUACGUAGGGCGCAAGCGUUAUCCGGAAUUAUUGGGCGUAAAGAGCUCGUAGGCGGUUUGUCGCGUCUGCUGUGAAAUCCCGAGGCUCAACCUCGGGCCUGCAGUGGGUACGGGCAGACUAGAGUGCGGUAGGGGAGAUUGGAAUUCCUGGUGUAGCGGUGGAAUGCGCAGAUAUCAGGAGGAACACCGAUGGCGAAGGCAGAUCUCUGGGCCGUAACUGACGCUGAGGAGCGAAAGGGUGGGGAGCAAACAGGCUUAGAUACCCUGGUAGUCCACCCCGUAAACGUUGGGAACUAGUUGUGGGGUCCAUUCCACGGAUUCCGUGACGCAGCUAACGCAUUAAGUUCCCCGCCUGGGGAGUACGGCCGCAAGGCUAAAACUCAAAGGAAUUGACGGGGACCCGCACAAGCGGCGGAGCAUGCGGAUUAAUUCGAUGCAACGCGAAGAACCUUACCAAGGCUUGACAUAUACGAGAACGGGCCAGAAAUGGUCAACUCUUUGGACACUCGUAAACAGGUGGUGCAUGGUUGUCGUCAGCUCGUGUCGUGAGAUGUUGGGUUAAGUCCCGCAACGAGCGCAACCCUCGUUCUAUGUUGCCAGCACGUAAUGGUGGGAACUCAUGGGAUACUGCCGGGGUCAACUCGGAGGAAGGUGGGGAUGACGUCAAAUCAUCAUGCCCCUUAUGUCUUGGGCUUCACGCAUGCUACAAUGGCCGGUACAAAGGGCUGCAAUACCGUGAGGUGGAGCGAAUCCCAAAAAGCCGGUCCCAGUUCGGAUUGAGGUCUGCAACUCGACCUCAUGAAGUCGGAGUCGCUAGUAAUCGCAGAUCAGCAACGCUGCGGUGAAUACGUUCCCGGGUCUUGUACACACCGCCCGUCAAGUCAUGAAAGUCGGUAACACCUGAAGCCGGUGGCCUAACCCUUGUGGAGGGAGCUGUCGAAGGUGGGAUCGGUAAUUAGGACUAAGUCGUAACAAGGUAGCCGUACCGGAAGGUGCGGCUGGAUCACCUCCUUUCUA
rnacentral:rRNA from 1 species